ACCCCCCCAUGUGUUCUCCCCUUUUCACAGACCUCUCCCUGCUUUUAUGCUACUCUGAAAUUGCGCAAUUAUGCAAAGGUGCAAUUACAAAGGAGCAGAAAUUGUGAUCUGCCCUUUAAGAAGCUUUAUUGUGUGGUAGAUGUGGGAUUGAAGUUCAGCUUGGGUGGAUACAGGCAUGAGGGGGAGAAGGAGCAAAUGGCGAAUGGUCAGUAAUGCAGCCAAGGGAAUCCAUGUUCUGAUGUGGCAGCAGGGAAAUACGGAGGGUGGAAUUUGACUUUCCCACCCCUGAGAAGUCACAAUUUGAACAUUGGGACUGCAUCCAAUCACUGACUGCACAGGGAGGGGAAUUUGGUGAGGGGUGGAGANAAAAAGAUACAGUUUCCCCUUACCAAACAUGGGAAAANUGAGGUGUGAGAACAAGCAAGUCCGAAUUGAAUCCAUGUUAUAAUGCAAAUGUGGAAACGAUUAGAACAUGUACUCAAUCCUUGUUCUCCUCCAAUAUGGAUUAAAUUCACAAUGUGCAACCACACCCUUAAAGACUGUGUACUUCACCCUUACAUUUGGGGAAAAUGGCAGGUUUCAAGAACUGAGGCAGUGCUCAGCUACAGCUUAAGCAGAGAUUGCAGACCUUUUCGGCAUGUAGGCAUUUUGGGAUUCCUGAGGAUGUCCUGUUGGAGUUGCUGUCCCUUANCACUUCUUUGCUCCAAACAGUGGAUGGGACAUGUGGCACCCAGAAGCUUUGCAGAAAAAGAGGACAAGUUGUUUCAUAAGGAAAGAUGCUCAUGGUAUAUGCCUGGUUAAUAAGGAGGCCCUACCUGUCUGCUGAUGACAGAUCCUGCCUUCUUGAAGCAAAGAUGCUCUGGAAAGUGGUGAGUGCCUUCCUCCAACCCAUUAAUGUAAGCAGAGCUUGUGCAGAAAUGGUUUCCAUGAGGACCAAACUAUACGCUGCACAGAUUAGGUCACUCACAACUACACUGGAGGCUUUUAUUUCUUCAGUUACAGUCACCACCUCUCAAUGUUUAUCAGAACUGAAGUGCAUUGGGAGGAGAGCGUGCUGUGGUCCUGAUAAAAGCUCAGUACAUUGCCUCAAACAGAAGUAGUGCUUUGCUUCUACAGGGCCUCCUCUGCACACCUUCAGUAAAUAUUAAUUCACU
rnacentral:lncRNA from 1 species